AACGAACGCUGGCGGCAUGCCUAUCACAUGCAAGUCGAACGAGACCUUCGGGUCUAGUGGCGCACGGGUGCGUAACGCGUGGGAACCUGCCCUUAGGUUCGGAAUAACUCCCCGAAAGGGGUGCUAAUACCGGAUAAUGUCUUCGGACCAAAGAUUUAUCGCCUUUGGAUGGGCCCGCGUUGGAUUAGCUAGUUGGUAGGGUAAAAGCCUACCAAGGCGACGAUCCAUAGCUGGUCUGAGAGGAUGAUCAGCCACACUGGUACUGAGACACGGCCCAGACUCCUACGGGAGGCAGCAGUGGGGAAUAUUGGACAAUGGGCGAAAGCCUGAUCCAGCAAUGCCGCGUGAGUGAUGAAGGCCUUAGGGUUGUAAAGCUCUUUUACCCGGGAUGAUAAUGACAGUACCGGGAGAAUAAGCUCCGGCUAACUCCGUG
rnacentral:rRNA from 1 species